rnacentral:rRNA from 1 species
UACGUAGGGUGCAAGCGUUGUCCGGAAUUAUUGGGCGUAAAGAGCUCGUAGGCGGUCUGUCGCGUCGGCUGUGAAAACCCGGGGCUCAACCCCGGGCCUGCAGUCGAUACGGGCAGACUAGAGUGCGGUAGGGGAGACUGGAAUUCCUGGUGUAGCGGUGAAAUGCGCAGAUAUCAGGAGGAACACCGGUGGCGAAGGCGGGUCUCUGGGCCGUAACUGACGCUGAGGAGCGAAAGCGUGGGUAGCAAACAGG